rnacentral:lncRNA from 1 species
GCUCCCUUCGCCGCGCCUCGCGUGCUAGCGGUGCCCUUGUGAGCCACUGCGUUCUCCAAGGCCAGAACGGGACAGAUGGAGAAAUUGAGAUGAGAGCUCAUCCACAAGAUUACCCAUCAAUGAGCACCAAUAGCAACCAAAUCCACUAGAAGACUGGGAGCUUUUAAGUCAAGAAACUUACAUCAGUAUCAUCAUUCCAAGAAGCGGUAUCCAAGCUGUUUUAUCGAAAGUGCGCAUGGGAGAUAAGACUCUGAGAAUUUAUAGAAACAAACAUUAGAAGGCAGGAAUGUGGAGAGAAGAAAGCUACCUGACAAGGGAAUCUCAGGAUACAAGGAAAACACCAAGGAUGUGAGAAUGUCUUCGCUGCAUUAUUAUUUUUCAGCAUUGCCUCUGCUGACUUCAUGGGAGGAAUGGUGUUUCUUCUUCUCUCCCAUGUCAUGGAAGACACUCCUGAUGGCAUGUCUGUAGGUCUGUAGGAAAGAAUAAUCACCUCAGUAGCUUAGUGUGUGUAUGUGUGUGUGUGUGUCUGACACACUGUAGGUACAUAAUAAAGAUUUGAAAAUAUGAGUUUUUUUUAAUCCAAGCAGUGCCAUGUGUUUACUUGGAUUAGUAAUUGUACCAAUCUACAUUUUAAAGGUAAAACUAGCCAUUCAUUCUUUUGUUUCAGCAGUUGCCUAAUUUUAUUGUUUAAGUAUAAUGUGAGUGAAGGAAACUUCCUAGUUAGAAAUCUAUGAAUAUUAACUUCUUGUCUUCACUAACCAGAGUUGUUCUCAACUCAUAACACGUGGUUUGGUAAACCAUUUGCAAUGUAAACAUAGCAGAUUUUACUUGUAGUUUCAUAAUUUAGGCAGGUUGGCUCUGUAUUAUUUCUAGAAUCACAGGUAUCUGGAUGAAGAAUCACCAUUUUGUCAUUAGAGAUUACAACAAAUGUAGUUUAUUCUUUUUACCGGUAAUAUCAAUGUAAGCAAAAAUUAUACUUUUUAGCUAAGCAUGUUAUCUUCCCAGACUGGAGGAGUUAUUAUCUUCCAUAUUUUCUCUAUCUUCCACUAUACAAAGGGAAAAUAGAUUGGAAUUGUACUGGCCAUUGCUUUGUAAAGAGAAUAUAAAUAGCAAUAAAACA